rnacentral:rRNA from 1 species
UACGUAGGUGACAAGCGUUGUUCGGAAUUACUGGGCGUAAAGGGCUCGUAGGCGGCCAACUAAGUCAUACGUGAAAUCCCUCGGCUUAACCGGGGAACUGCGUCUGAUACUGGAUGGCUUGAGUUCGGGAGAGGGAUGCGGAAUUCCAGGUGUAGCGGUGAAAUGCGUAGAUAUCUGGAGGAACACCGGUGGCGAAGGCGGCAUCCUGGACCGAUACUGACGCUGAGGAGCGAAAGCCAGGGGAGCAAACGGG